UUUGCUUUUUGUGAGAUAGAGGAU
rnacentral:snRNA from 1 species